rnacentral:rRNA from 1 species
GAUGAACGCUGGCGGCGUGCCUAAUACAUGCAAGUCGAGCGAACGGACGCGGAGCUUGCGUCUCUGAUGUUAGCGGCGGACGGGUGAGUAACACGUGUAUAACCUACCUAUAAGACUGGUAUAACUUCGGGAAACCGGAGCUAAUACCGGAUGAUAUUUUGAACCGCAGGGUUCAAUAGUGAAAGUCGGUCUUGCUGGCACUACUAGCUGGAUCCGCGCUGCAUUAGCUAGUUGGUAGGGUAACGGCUUACCAAGGCGACGAUGCAUAGGCGACGUGAGAGAGUGAUCGGCCACACGGGAGCUGAGACACGGUCCAGACUCCUACGGGAGGCAGCAGUCGGGAAUCUUCCGCAACGGGCGGGAGCCUGACGGAGCAACGCCGCGUGAGUGAUGAAGGUCUUCGGAUCGUAAAACUCUGUUAUUAGGGAAGAACAGAUGUGUAAGUAACUGUGCACAUCUUGACGGUACCUAAUCAGAAAGCCACGGCUAACUACGUG